rnacentral:rRNA from 1 species
UAAGGAAUAUUGCUCAAUGGGAGAAAUCCUGAAGCAGCAACGCCGCGUGGAGGAUGAAGGGUUUUUAACUUGUAAACUCCUGUAAAGAAGGAAAAAAUUCCCAUUAGAUGGGAAAUGAUGGUACUUCUGGAGUAAGCCCCGGCUAACUACGUGCCAGCAGCCGCGGUAAUACGUAGGGGGCAAGCGUUGUCCGGAUUUACUGGGUGUAAAGGGUGCUCAGGCGGAUUUGUAAGUCAGAGGUGAAAUCUCACAGCUUAACUGUGAAACUGCCUUUGAUACUGCAAGCCUAGAGUAUGGAAGAGAGUGAUGGAAUAUCUGGUGUAGCAGUGAAAUGCGUAGAUAUCAGAUAGAAUACCAAUGGCGAAGGCAGUCACUUGGUCCAUAACUGACGCUAAAGCACGAAAGCGUGGGUAGCAAAACAGGAUUAGAUACCCUGGUAGUCCACGCCCUAAAACGAUGAAUACUAGAUGUUGGCUUCGCAUGAAGUCAGUAUCUGAGCUAACGCAUUAAGUAUUCCACCUGGGAAGUACGAUCGCAAGGUUGAAACUCAAAUGAAUUGACGGGGUCAUAGCUG